UACGUAGGGGGCAAGCGUUGUCCGGAAUCAUUGGGCGUAAAGGGCGCGUAGGUGGCCCGGUAAGCGUGCGGUGAAAGCUCGGGGCUCAACCCCGAGUCGGCCGUGCGAACUGCUGGGCUUGAGCACUGUAGAGGCAGGCGGAAUUCCGGGUGUAGCGGUGGAAUGCGUAGAGAUCCGGAAGAACACCGGUGGCGAAGGCGGCCUGCUGGGCAGUAGCUGACACUGAGGCGCGACAGCGUGGGGAGCAAACAGG
rnacentral:rRNA from 1 species